UGCGGGAUCGUCUAGUGGUAGGACGGGUGACUCUGGAUCACUUAGCCCAGGUUCGAAUCCUGGUCCCGCAG
rnacentral:tRNA from 1 species